GACGAACGCUGGCGGCGCGCUUAACACAUGCAAGUCGAGCGAGAUCCAGGCCUUCGGGCCUGGGGACAGCGGCGAACGGGUGAGUAACACAUGGGCAACCUGCCCCAGACUUCGGGAUAACGCUUCGAAAGAGGUGCUAAUACCGGAUACGAACUCCUUGGGCAUCCUUGGAGUUGGAAAGUUUUUCGGUCUGGGAUGGGCCCGCGGCCUAUCAGCUUGUUGGUGAGGUAACGGCUCACCAAGGCGACGACGGGUAGCCGGCCUGAGAGGGCGACCGGCCACGCUGGGACUGAGACACGGCCCAGACUCCUACGGGAGGCAGCAGUGGGGAAUAUUGCGCAAUGGGCGAAAGCCUGACGCAGCAACGCCGCGUGAGGGAUGACGGCCUUCGGGUUGUAAACCUCUUUCAGCAGGGAAGAAGCGAAAGUGACGGUACCUGCAGAAGAAGCACCGGCUAACUACGUGCCAGCAGCCGCCGUAAUAC
rnacentral:rRNA from 1 species